rnacentral:rRNA from 1 species
UGGGGAAUAUUGCACAAUGGGCGCAAGCCUGAUGCAGCCAUGCCGCGUGUAUGAAGAAGGCCUUCGGGUUGUAAAGUACUUUCAGCGAGGAGGAAGGCGGUAAGGUUAAUAACCUUAUCGAUUGACGUUACUCGCAGAAGAAGCACCGGCUAACUCCGUGCCAGCAGCCGCGGUAAUACGGAGGGUGCAAGCGUUAAUCGGAAUUACUGGGCGUAAAGCGCACGCAGGCGGUCUGUCAAGUCGGAUGUGAAAUCCCCGGGCUCAACCUGGGAACUGCAUCCGAAACUGGCAGGCUAGAGUCUUGUAGAGGGGGGUAGAAUUCCAGGUGUAGCGGUGAAAUGCGUAGAGAUCUGGAGGAAUACCGGUGGCGAAGGCGGCCCCCUGGACAAAGACUGACGCUCAGGUGCGAAAGCGUGGGGAGCAAACA